ensembl:piRNA 21ur-1997 ncRNA
AUAAUUAAAAGGUAUCCAACG